rnacentral:lncRNA from 1 species
UUUUACAAGCUUCAGUCAUAUGGAGCAUGUGCAAUGCAGAAAACCAAAUGAUUUCUGUAGAAAGAAUUCUUCAGUACUCAAAUAUAACAAGUGAAGCACCCCUUGUGGUUGAAGAGUGCAGACCUUCAGACAACUGGCCAGAAGUAGGAACAAUAUCCUUUAAAGAUUUGGAGGUAAGAACCUUCUGGAAGGUUUUAGCAGUUUAAAGAGAGAAUUAGUUCGGAAACUGUGAUUUCUAGUCUAAAGAGUCAAGAAAUUCCAAUUAAAUCAUCAAAAUUUGAAAUUUUGCCUUAGCGGGCGUUAAUAAAUUCCCACUUCCACAACAAAACACCUAGCCAAAAGUAUUAGGACUUUCAACAGAGCCCCUCACCAAUCACGGAAAGGCUCUGAUCAAGUUCAUCAAAUAUUUGCUCUCAUAAGUCACGCGUAGCAUCUUUUGCAGGCAUCUACAGACCAAAGUGUUCUAGACUUGGAAAUGGCACACAGACUAGGUUGGUGUGCUUUCUCAGUAAUACAGAUUCUAGGGACCAUAGCAGUAAUGUCCCAGGUUGCAUGGGAAGUAUUUGUAAUCUUCAUUCCAGUAUCUGCAAUCUGCAUAUGGUACCAAGUAAGCAUUUCUUUUCCCUUUGAUAAAUGAUAUAUCCAGAGCUGAUUACUCAAUUGCAUAUUGACAGUAAACUUUUUCUUACUAUUACCACAUUUUUAUCUGCAAUUCAUUAUGGAAAAUGAAAUUCUUGAUGGAAAAGAAAAGAGUUUCCUAUUAUUUAUGCAAUAUGAAAAGCAUGGAAACUGUAUGCCACGAGAAGAAAUUUAGUUAAGCUAAUGAUCAUAUGGCCUUCAGAGUUUUUGCUCAUUCUGGAAACUGAUGUAAAAAUUAACAUGAUUACUUCAGCGAUAUUACAUCCCAACAGCAAGAGAACUGGCUCGCUUAGCAGGAAUACAGAGAGCUCCAAUUCUUCACCACUUUGCAGAAUCAUUAGCAGGUGCUGCAACAAUUCGUGCUUUUAAUCAAGAAGAUCGUUUUAUUGAAGCAAACCUUGACCUUAUAGACAGCCACUCAAGGCCUUGGUUUCAUAAUAUGUCAGCCAUGGAAUGGCUUUCUUUCAGAUUGAAUUUACUGUCCAAUUUUGUAUUUGCCUUCUCACUGGUCUUGCUGGUGACCCUUCCUGAAGGAAUAAUCAACCCAAGUAAGCACGUGAAUAUAUAAGCUCAGAUUGCUUUAUUUCCAUGAUAUCAAAACCGGUAUCAUGAUAUUAAAUUAUUUGUCUUCAGUGAUUAGGAUAGAAGAGCAAUCAAUGAUGUAGUAGACAGGUAAAGAAACAAGAAAGCAUGAGUUCUGAUCUAAAACUGGAUAAUUUCAUUGCAGGCAUUGCAGGAUUGGCAGUAACAUAUGGGAUAAAUUUGAAUGUUUUACAAGCUUCAGUCAUAUGGAGCAUGUGCAAUGCAGAAAACCAAAUGAUUUCUGUAGAAAGAAUUCUUCAGUACUCAAAUAUAACAAGUGAAGCACCCCUUGUGGUUGAAGAGUGCAGACCUUCAGACAACUGGCCAGAAGUAGGAACAAUAUCCUUUAAAGAUUUGGAGGUAAGAACCUUCUGGAAGGUUUUAGCAGUUUAAAGAGAGAAUUAGUUCGGAAACUGUGAUUUCUAGUCUAAAGAGUCAAGAAAUUCCAAUUAAAUCAUCAAAAUUUGAAAUUUAAUGAAAAAAGAAAUGAAAUUACAACUGCUGCUAUAAAAAAUCAGUUGUUCUCAACAGCUAAAUUUUAUUAUCAGUUAUAAAC